rnacentral:rRNA from 1 species
AUUGAACGCUGGCGGCAUGCCUUACACAUGCAAGUCGAACGGCAGCACGGGUGCUUGCACCUGGUGGCGAGUGGCGAACGGGUGAGUAAUAUAUCGGAACGUCCCUUAUUGUGGGGGAUAACGCAGCGAAAGCUGUGCUAAUACCGCCUAAUCCCUCAGGGGGAAAGCGGGGGACCGUAAGGCCUCGCGCAAUUAGAGCGGCCGUGACCUGAUAAGCUAGUUGGUGAGGUGAAGGCUCACCAAGGCAACGAUCAGUAGCUGGUCUGAGAGGACUAUCAGCCACACUGGGACUGAGACACGGCCCAGACGCGUACUGGAGGCAGCAUUGGGGAAUUUUGGACAAUGGGGGCAACCCUGAUCCAGCAAUGCCGCGUGAGUGAAGAAGGCCUUCGGGUUGUAAAGCUCUUUUGUCAGGGAAGAAACAGCAGCUCUAACACAGUUUGCGAAUGACGGUACCUGAAGAAUAAGCACCGGCUAACUACGUGCCAGCCGCCGCAGUAA